AAGGUUAUGGAUCAGUGGUAGAGAGCAUGCUUAGCAUGCAUGAGGUCCUGGGUUCGAUCCCCAGUACCUCCA
rfam:Camelus ferus unplaced genomic scaffold scaffold530, whole genome shotgun sequence.